rnacentral:lncRNA from 1 species
UGAUUAGGCUUGAUAGAGGCAGACCGCCUGAAAAUUUAUUCAGGAGAAUCAAACAAAAGGACAUCUCAGUGCCCGUGCACAGCCUGAUAGAGUUAAUGUAAUUGGGUUGUGAGUAAAAAUACUCAGGGCUGUGUUUCACUUCCAUACCAUUGGCGAAUGUCGGUCAUACUGCUCAGAUAUCUCUCAGUGUCUUACAGAAUUGGGUUUCAACACGUUGGUGGACUAGUCCAGGAAUUGAGACAAUCCAUCGCCCAUAUCGACUCCACUCGAGUGGAUAGUCACCGUGAACACCAUCUGGCUUUUUCCCUCGUUGUCUAGUGUUUGUCUCUGGUGCACCA